rnacentral:rRNA from 1 species
UGCCAGCCGCCGCGGUAAUACGGAGGGUGCGAGCGUUAUCCGGAAUUAUUGGGUUUAAAGCGUGCGUAGGCGGUUUGUUAAGCAAGAUGUGAAAGCCCAGGGCUCAACCUUGGAAUUGCAUUUUGAACUGGCAGGCUAGAGUACUGUAGAGGGUGGUGGAAUUUCCAGUGUAGCGGUGAAAUGCGUAGAUAUAGGAAGGAACAUCAGUGGCGAAGGCGGCCACCUGGACUAAUACUGACACUGAGGUGCGAAAGCGUGGGGAGCAAACAGGAUUAGAUA